ACGGCCAUACCACGUUGAAAACACCGGUUCUCGUCUGAUCACCUAAGUUAAGCAACGUCGGGCCCGGUCAGUACUUGGGAGGGUGACCACCUGGGAACACCGGGUGCUGUAGGCU